GUGCUUGCUUCAGCAGCACGUAUACUAAAACUGGAACAACACACACAAGAUUAGCAUGGCCUCUGUGCAACGAUGACAUGCAAAUUCAUGAAGCAUUCCAUAUAUUU
ensembl:snRNA U6 U6 spliceosomal RNA